rnacentral:lncRNA from 1 species
CUGGAGUGCAGUGGUGCCAUCUUGGCUCACUGCAAGCUCUGCCUCCUGAGUUCAAGCAAUUCUCAUGCCUCAGCCUCCUGAGUAACUGGGACUACAGGCACAGGCCAGCACCACCAAGCCUGGCUAAUUUUUCUAUUUUUAAUAGAGACAGGGUUUUGCCAUGUUGGGCAGGCUGGUCUCCAACUCCUGGCCUCAAGUCAUCUGCGCGCCUUGGCCUCCAAAGUGUUGGGAUUACAGGAGUGAGCCACUGCACCUGGCCCAUCCACUUUACUGAUGAGCAUGUUCAAAAACUAAUUAUAGGUACUGGUAAUCUCCAUUUUUGCGAUAUUAUAAGAAUUAACUGAGUAAUUAUUUAUCGAACAUCUACUAUACAUACAACAUGCUUUCUGAGAAUUAAGAUGACACAGGCUAGCAUUCUGCCUACAAGAAGCUUAAUAGGGAUAAGACACAAACACAAAUAACUGUAAUAUGAGGCAGAAUGUGUUAAGUAACAUGAGAGAGUAACCGAUAAAGUGCGUGGAAAUUCAGAGGAAGAGAUUACUUCCAGCUGGUACAGUCAGGGAUGACUUGAUAGAAGAAACAGCAUUUAGGCCGGGAGCGGUGGCUCAUGCCUUAAUCCAGCACUUUGGGAGCCAGGGCAGGCAGAUCACCUGAGGCAGGAGGAUAGCUUGAACCCGGGAGGCAGAAGUUGCAGUGAGCUGAGAUUGUGCCACUGCACUCCAGCCUGGAGACAGAGCGAGAAUCCGUCUCGAAAACCAAACAAACAAGAAAAAAAGUCAGAACAUGUUCUCAUUAAUUUGCAGAAUACAAAAAAAAGAUCAAAUCAAGGCCCGCAUG